UAUAUACAAUAAUAAAGAUGGUGGCAGUGUAUCAGU
rnacentral:guide_RNA from 1 species